ensembl:misc_RNA 7SK 7SK RNA
GCAAGUGUCACUCCUCCACGGUAAAUCCCUCCUUACCCAGUAGAGAAGGGACAUUCUUUGGUCAAGGUCAUAUAAAUAACUGAAAAUCCUCUGGUAAAACCUCCAGACAAGUUUCUAGGAUCCAUCUGAGGCACCCGGGUUAGUGCCAUAUGUAUGACUCCAGGCAUAUGUAAACGAGGUACUCUAUGUGGUCUCCUUUU